rnacentral:lncRNA from 1 species
AGACACUUUUUCAGAUAUUUGAUUUAACAUAUAUUAAUACGAAGUAAAAUAUAUUCAUUGUUGGAGAAAUAAAUUUCCAACGCUAAUAUUUAGUAAAACUAUAUUUGAUUUAAAUAUUUUGUUUAGUGGUUUGCACCUUGUGUACAAGUUACAAAGUUUUUCUAUGUUUUAUGUUCUAUGAUUCGAAGCAGGGCCCCCGCAAGGCUGAUUGGCGCCCGCGUGCGGGACAUAUUUUAGCGCCCUUUAAAUCUAAACUUUAAGAUUGUAUAAUAUACGUAAAAAUAAUCAAAACUAACUCAUAUGUUGUUAUCCGAUUUUCAUUUGUUUCCGGGAUACGGGGUGUUAAAUUUUUUCUUACAAACUGACGAUUUAUUUAUUGCUCUAAAACCGGUUGAGUUGUGCAAAUGAAAUUUGGUGGGUUUUAAGACAUAGUUGGUGCACAUAUUUUGACACACAAUUAAGAAUUUUAUAUUCACCAUUGGCGCGCGUACUGGUAAUAGUAUAAAAUAUUUUAAAGAUAAUUAUGAAAAGUUGUUCAGUAUUAAAAACUAUGUUUCUAUAUGCAAUUACAUCCUUCUAAUUGAAACAUAUUGUGAUCUCGAAAGGCACUUUACUUUUGAUCAAAACUCAUAUUUUUUACAUAUAAGUAUAUCUCAUAUAAAAUUAAAACAAUUUGAUAGGAUUUGAUGGUUGAUCUUAGACCAUGCAAAUCUUUUUAGAAAGAACUUUUUAUCGUACAUUAAUUGUACUUUUCAACAACGGCCUUUUCAUUUAUUAGAAAUAAUGUGAUAAGUCUUUUAUUAUUAAUAAUUAGCCCUUUCAGUUAUUACAAAUAAUGUGAUAACUUUUUUAUUAUUAUUCAUUAAUUAAUCAAUAACAACCCGCAGGCAACCAAAGUUAAUGCUUAUAAUGUUUUGUAUAUUGACAAAUUUUUCAUUUAUUGUUUACGUGCUUUGUAUGCUAAAAUAAGACUUCAUUUAGAUAUUUAUGGUAGGGGAGCCCAAGCGGGGAUUUUUGUAGUUACUCGAGCGCGUCAGAUUAGCAUAUGGGAGAAACCUGGUAAUCUGCAGAUGUACGUCUACCAUAUAUUGGCCCUUAACACAGGGGAGUUCGUUAAGGGGGACCCGAAAAAAAAAUCUAUCCUUAAAAAUACUCGAAAUUGUCAGAUUAAGAUAAGGUAAGUUAGGUAUAUAUGCAAAAGAGCGUAUAUUUCAGAAAUCUGACGAUUUGAGACGGGCGUAAGGAAAUGGGUGAGUCCCAAAAUUUUACAAGAAAAAAGCGAAUAUUUCGCGAAAUGAAUGACAGAUCAAAAUACUAAAAAAUAAGUGCCCAAUAUUUUUUAAAAAUCUAUCGAAUGAUACCAAACACGACUUUCCACGGAGAGGGGUGGGGGGUAAAUUUAAUAUUUUAAAUGCGAAUCCCGCGAUAUUUCGCGAAAUGAACAUCAAAUCGAAAAACUCUAAAAUACACUCACCCAAUAUUUUUAAAAAAUCUAUCGAAUGGCACCAAUCACGACCCCCCAUGGAUGUGGGGUGGGGGGAUACUUUAAAAUCUUAAAUAGGAGCCCUCAUUUUUUAUUGCAGAUUUGGAUUCCUUACGUAAAAAUAAGUAACUUUUAUUCGAAACAUUUUUUCGAAUUAUGGAAAGAUGGCGUUAUAAUCGGAAAAAACGAUUGUUGGAAAUGGAAAAUUAAAUUAAAAAAUGGCAAGCGCCCACUAAAAUGGAAAACUUUACUUAAUUUUUUUUUAUUUUAGGACCUACUCUUCACAACCCAAUAGGUCCCCAAAGCGCUCGAGUAACUACACAUUUAGCAUACUUUGCUCCCCUACCAUUAGUUAAAGAAACGUGUAAAUUAAGAGAUUCUUAUUCGUUUUUCUCAAGUGAGUUAGUUUAAUGCAAUAGUGUUGUUCUUCUUGAAAACGGUUUGAGGUUAUGUGUUUUGUUUUUUUUUUUGAACUGAUUGUGUUAUCGAGUUUAAUUAAAUUAAUUUGUUAAUAAAUUAUUUAUUAGCUUAUAUGUUGUUUCAGUUUUGACACAGUAAGUAUACCUAGGUAUAUAUAAAGUGAAAAUUCUCUCUACCUAUAUCAUUUUAUAUAAUAUAAAGUCUCCCAUUUGGUUUUACUUUUUUUUAGCCCAUAAGCUAAAUUUAAAACAGUUAAAUAAAAAAUUGCAAUACCAACAAAUCCCAUAGGAAUAAUUAGAUAUUAUUGUGUAUUUUUAAAACCAUAAAAUGAAAAAUAAUCUAAAAAAACGACAUAAAAACUACGUUUUUAUAUCACGUAUUUACAACGUGAUAAAAAUGACGUCAGUUAUGGUGGUACAUAUUCACGUGACUUUCUACGUCGAAAAAACGUGCCCAACUGACGUGGUUUGGUGAUAAUUAUAACGCCUUUUCAACGUUUUGUAAACAUUAUUUGGUUGGCUGGGAAUAAAAGAGUUAUCGCAUUAUUCGUAAUAAAUGAAAAGGGCGUUGGGUAUCUGUAAUUUGAGAAAAAAAAAUUUCAAUUAAAAGGAUGUAAUUGCAUAUUAAAACAUAGUUUUUAAUUAAUUCCAAACAACUUUUCAUAAUAAUAAUUUUCGAUAUUGUGAAAUAUAAGGUACUCUUGAUCGAAAUUCAUAUUUUUGAUACUCAUAAGAUUGACACAAUUUUAUAUUUGGUUGCAUUUUAGUUUUUAGACUAUGCAAAGCAUUUUAUGAAGAAUGCAUUUUUUCCGUAAAAUUAAUAAUAAAAAAGUUUUCUAUAUGGUUUCAAGUUACGCAGACACAAUGUCUUAAUUAUUUUCUUUUUUUUUCAAAAUAAAUUGUAUAUUGUGGAUUUUAUUAGAGGAAACCCGAUUGUAACUAUUUAAAAUGAAUUAUAAUUAUUCUAUGCAAUGAUUAUGAUAUAGUCGAUUCCCUAAUCUUAGACACAACUGUCUACACUACAAUCACAAUAAAAAUGCACUAUAUAGAACUCAACAAACCAAGACACGUUGAAUGUUCGAGGAGCACUCCCAAAUCAUCAUUUAGGAGUACCCCUCGUGCUUGUUUAUUUCUAUUGCAUCUUUAUUGUGAUUGUAGUGUAGACAGUUGUGUCUCAGAUUAGCGAAUCAACUAUACUUACCAUUUUCACAAUUAAUUUAAUCUCCACACCACUUAAAAUAACAACAUAUAAAAAAGAUUGUCUAAUGUUUUUUACACGAAAACACGAAAAGUUUAAAUUCGUGGCAGACCAAACCCAACGGAUAUUGCAAUAAUAGUCGUAGGUAAUUAUUAACACCAAUAUAAAUUAAAUUGUUAAACCUUCCACUGCAGGAAACCACCCGUUCACCAGUAACACUAAAUAAUGUGUGUGCCUAAUAAACGCAUAAACAAAAAUGGAAAAGAUACUUAAGUCAAAUACAUCAUAAUUCAUAGAGUAUUUGUUUAUUUAAGAGUAAUUAUCAUAAAUUCGAGUAAAAGAUUCAUUUAGUAAAACUGCUUGAUCCAUCAAGUUGUCUAUUUGUUGGAGUAAAACUGCUAAGUGGCGUUUUAUGGGUGUUAAUUUAUGUUUCUACUCGUCAAGGAGUGUGAUUUGAUGUUUAUUUGAUUAUUUUGAGUAUGUAUGAGUUUACAACAUAAAAUCGAUUGGAUGGUAUGCCACCCCUGAUUCAAUUUACUUCAAAGAAAAAAAUUAGGAAGGAACAACAAAAUGUAAUAUAUUUUUGACAGAGUUAGUUCAACAUUUCGGGACAGGAAUGAUUAUUUUUUCCGCAAUAACACAAUAUUUGAUUUUUGAGAUUUCUCUAGCUGUUCAUGAAAUAAGUAAAAUUGUAUAUAAAAAAUGAAUAUCUCGUUUAAAAUUAAUAUUUAUUAUUUACCAAACCUUCGGUUUGGCGCCCCUUUGGGGUUACGCCUGUGUGCGCCGCACGCGUUGCACGCCCGGUUACGGGGGCCCUGACUUACUAUACUUACCAUUUUCACAAUUAAUUUAAUCUCCACACCACUUAAAAUAACAACAUAUAAAAAAGAUUGUCUAAUGUUUUUUACACGAAAACACGAAAAGUUUAAAAUCGUGGCAGACCAAACCCAACGGAUAUUGCAAUAAUAGUCGUAGGUAAUUAUUAACACCAAUAUAAAUUAAAUUGUUAAACCUUCCACUGCAGGAAACCACCCGUUCACUAGUAACACUAAAUAAUGUGUGUGCCUAAUAAACGCAUAAACAAAAAUGGAAAAGAUACUUAAGUCAAAUACAUCAUAAUUCAUAGAGUAUUUGUUUAUUUAAGAGUAAUUAUCAUAAAUUCGAGUAAAAGAUUCAUUUAGUAAAACUGCUUGAUCCAUCAAGUUGUCUAUUUGUUGGAGUAAAACUGUUAAGUUGCGUUUUAUGGGUGUUAAUUUAUGUUUCUACUCGUCAAGGAGUGUGAUUUGAUGUUUAUUUGAUUAUUUUGAGUAUGUAUGAGUUUACAACAUAAAAUCGAUUGGAUGGUAUGCCACCCCUGAUUCAAUUUACUUCAAAGAAAAAAAUUAGGAAGGAACAACAAAAUGUAAUAUAUUUUUGACAGAGUUAGUUCAACAUUUCGGGACAGGAAUGAUUAUUUUUUCAGUAAUAACACAAUAUUUGAUUUUUGAUAAGUAAAAUUGUAUAUAAAAAAUGAAUAUCUCAUUUAAAAUUAAUAUUUAUUAUUUACCAAACCUUCGGUUUGGCGCCUCUUUGGGGUUACGCCUGCGUGCGCCGCACGCGUUGCACGCCCGGUUACGGGGGCCCUGAUUCGAAGUUUACACAAAGGCGCAAUAUUAAAAAAAAGAAAGUUCGUUACUGUUACUAAGGUUUUGUUGAUAGAAUAAAAAAUAUAAAAACGGGAAGUAGGGAUUGUGUCCGAUCCCGAUCCCACAUAAAUUAUUACUUUAAUACCAAAAGUAUGUGUUAGUGUAAUAAAGUUUAUUUGUGAAAAG